UUGUGGUCAUUCACCGUUGGAAGUAAAUUCAACGAUUUACUCACUCUUGCACUCUUUUUAAGAAACUUUUUUGAACCAUUGGAUUAUUAUCCAACGAUGGGUGACCACAA
rnacentral:pre_miRNA from 1 species